AUUUCAUACUUAUCUUAUAAAUAAUAUCAAAAUAAAACAUUAAAACAAUUACUUCUUUUUCACAUCCCAAAUAAAAGUACUAAAAAGGAAACAACAAUAACAUAAAGUAGUGAUUAAUCCACGUACCUUGUGCAUUAUGGUUUUACAAGCCCAAAAUUUAAAAUAACUUCCCGAAUCCUACACGAGCUGCUUCUGUAUAGCUAAGAGCCCCCUACUAGUUGUGGCAUCAACUUUAGAAAAUACAGUAGCAGAGGCUACAUACCAUACGCGCUAGAAUAUUGCUGGUUCUCAGUAAAAUUUAUUAAUUAAAACAUGUAGUAAUUCCUACAGUGUAAGAUCUUAGAGGAUAAGCCCUAAGACCAUAAGCUAAUUAUUUAUAUUAAUAAUACAACUAGGCCUAAAAUCAGCCAUUAACAGUACCUUACCGUUCUCUUCAUAUAAUAAAUAACUUACAUGCUUCAAAAAACUGAGAUUUAGGCCAAAUUUUAAAUCCUAAAAUAUUAUGUAAAAAUAAGUAUUAGAAAAUAUACUACAUACAAACUCUAAAUAAACUUACAAACGCUUAUAAGGAACUCGGCAAAUACUAU
rnacentral:rRNA from 1 species